ensembl:snoRNA U8 U8 small nucleolar RNA
UCAUUAGUCAGGUGUAUCCUUAGCUGUGGUUCUCUAAUGGAGAACUUCAGAACAUGCUGUUCGGGGAACUUAUGAGAUAUGAUUUUGUCUCCUUCCGGGCUGAGCGUAACAUCUUUUCAGGUUUCCAUUCUGAC